rnacentral:rRNA from 1 species
AGUUUGAUCCUGGCUCAGAUUGAACGCUGGCGGGAUGCUUUACACAAGCAAGUCGAACGGCAGCUACUGACUUCGGUCUGGUGGCGAGUGGCGAACGGGUGAGUAAUGUAUCGGAACGUGCCUAUAGCGGGGAUAACUACGAAAGCGUAGCUAAUACCGCAUACGCCCUUCGGGGAAAGCGGGGACCUUCGGGCCUUCGCACUAGAGCGGCUGAUAUCGGAUUAGCUAGUUGGUGGGUAACGGCUCACCAAGGCGACGAUCCGUAGCUGGUUUGAGAGGACGACCAGCCACACUGGGACUGGAGACAUCGGCCCAGACUCCUACGGGAGGUGCAGUGGGGAAUUUGACAAUGGGGGAAACCUGAUCCAGCCAUCCUCCGCGUGAUGGGCCUUCGGGCCACUUUGCAGGAAGAAACGGCACGGGAUAAUACCCCGUGCAACUGACGGUACCUGCAGAAUAAGCACCGGCUAACCACGUGCCAGCAGCCGCGGUAAUACGUAGGGUGCAAGCGUUAAUCGGAAUUACUGGGCGUAAAGUGCGCAGGCGGUUCGGAAAGAAAGAUGAAAUCCCAGAGCUUAACUUUGAACUGCAUUUAACUACCGAGCGAUAGAGUGUGUCAGAGGGAGGUGUGAAUCGCGUGUAGCAGUGAAAUGGGCAGUAGAUAUGCGGAGGAACACCGAUGGCGAAGGCAGCCUCCUGAUAACACUGAUGCUCAUGCACGAAAGCGGGGAGCAAACAGGAUUAGAUACCCUGGUAGUCCACGCCCAAACGAUGUCACCAGUUGCCAGCCUUCGCCUCAGGCGCAGCUAACGCAAGUUGACCGCCUGGGAGUACGGUCGCAAGAUUAAAACUCAAAGGAAUUGACGGGACCCGCACAGCGGUGGAUGAUGUGGAUUAAUUCGAUGCAACGCGAAAACCUUACCUACCCUGACAUGUUCAACCUGAAGAGAUUUGGGGAGUGCUCGCAAGAGAACCGGAACACAGGUGCUGCAUGGCUGUCGUCAAAUGUGUCGUGAGAUGUUGGGUUAAGUCUCGCAACGAGCGCAACCCUUGUCAUUAGUUGCUACGAAAGGGCACUCUAAUGUAGACUGCCGGUGACAAACCGGAGGAAGGUGGGGAUGACGUCAAGUCCUCAUGGCCCUUAUGGGUAGGGAUUCACAUGUCAUACAAUGGUCGGGACAGAGGGUCGCCAACCCAUGAGGGGGAGCCAAUCCCAGAAACCCGAUCGUGGUCCGGAUCGCAGUCUGCAACUCGACUGCGUGAAGUCGGAAUCGCUAGUAAUCGCGGAUCAGCAUGUCGCGGUGAAUACGUUCCCGGGUCUUGUACACACCGCCCGUCACACCAUGGGAGCUUUACCAGAAGUAGUUAGCCUAACCGUAAGGAGGGCGAUUACCACGGUAGGAUUCAUGACUGGGUGGAAGCUCUCUGUAACAAGGUAACAA